UACAGAGGUCCCGAGCGUUGUUCGGAUUCACUGGGCGUAAAGCGCACGUAGGCGGCUUAGCAAGUCGGAUGUGAAAUCCCUCGGCUCAACCAAGGAAGUGCAUCCGAAACUGCUGAGCUUGAGUACGAAAGAGGAUCGCGGAAUUCCCGGUGUAGAGGUGAAAUUCGUAGAUAUCGGGAGGAACACCAGUGGCGAAGGCGGCGAUCUGGGCUGAUACUGACGCUGGAGGUGCGAAAGCGUGGGGAGCAAACAGG
rnacentral:rRNA from 1 species